CAGAAGUGUGUGCAUGGCUCAGGCCAAUAGUCAACAAGAUGACAGCUGACUCGAUUCUGACUUGAAGUGUUGGUCUUCCUGAUCUAUCACAAUCUGAAGAGCCCCUACCACAUAUACCUGCUGCCAGGAUUGACCUACCUAUUGCCUCUGCUGAGACCUAUGAUGCAAUACGUUGAACAACAGCUCCUCUGCUCCAUCUAUAGUCUACUUGGAAUUGCCACUUAAGCGAACUCACCAAGAACAAUGCUUCCUGGACUCCAUCCAGGUGCCAGAACAUCUCCAUCCAGAUGCCAGAACAUCUGAACCAGGCUUCAGAAUGAAGAGGGAGACAACGUCAAUCCAGGAAGCAAUAUUCAAAAGCAUUUCUUAAGUGCAGUUUCUGUACCCUCCCCUUUGGGAAAGAGAAAACAUCUUGAUCUCAGGAAGUUUGAACAAGCGCUACUCAGCAAAUCUUGCCAUGGUUACUGCGCCACAUGUGGAGUGAGACGAGG
rnacentral:lncRNA from 1 species